GUAUUUUGACUAUACAAAGGUAUUGUAAUAAGACUUUAAUUGAGUGCUAAAAGAAUGGAGUUUCAAAAAAAGUCUAUCUUGAAUUCAAAAAUUGAAUUUAUUUUUAUUUGUGAAGAAACAAUAAUUAAAAUUAAGGACAAGAAGACCCUAAGAAUUUUUAAUUUUGUAUAUAUAAAUAUAUAUAUAUACAAAAUUUUAAUUGGGGCGAUUAAAAAAUAUAGUUAACUUUUAAUUUUAAAAAAUGAUCCAUUAUUAGUGAUUUAAUGUAAAAAAUACUCUAGGGAUAACAGCGUAAUAA
rnacentral:rRNA from 1 species